UUUCCCUUCCCUGAACCUUGACAUUCUACAUAGUAGUGAAAUUCAUUUCCCAGUCAGCUCUAAAUGAGAACUUUAGUGAUUUAGUCAAGUUCUCACAGACAAUCUGUUGCAAGCCUGGGAAUCAAACCUGUAUCUCUCUCUCCCAAUUUAUAUUUUUUCCGACUUCUCAGACAUCCCUCAGCUGCAUAGUGAAGAAAAGAAAUGGAAGAUCAGAAAUGUGGACUCUGAGCAAAGGCUGAAGGGGAGGAGGAACUUUCAGAGGUAAUAGGCAACAGGCAUAUUUUUGAUGGCAAAGGAAAGAACUGUGCCCUUCAUUUAAAUUAUCUGCCUGUGAUUACAAAGGUAUAAUAAUUUUCUACCCAUCCAAGAACCUUAAUGAUUGUACGGGGAAAUUCAUGAGAAUGGUAGAAGUGAAUCAGGAAGCUCUUGCAAUUGUCAACAGUCUUCAGGAGACUGCUGCAGUCCAGAGAGUGCUCUGCAAGGAUUUGUGCUGAGAAGCACUACCAGGAUACAUUCCAAGGCUAGUGGGCAUUUUAGUGUAUUGGAGUUUUGCAGCAUCAAGCAGAGAAAUUUAAAAAGCAUUUAUAAAGGGUAGAGGAGGCUGGAAGCCACAAUUAAAAAAAGAAUAAAAAUCACUCCCUGAUUGGUAUGAAAGUAUGCAGAGUCCAUUCAGAAAAAAGCAGAUGAAGAAACAUUAAUACAGACUCCAGAAUUACAAGCUGAGAUGAAUCAGAGCAUUUCUGGCCUGCAGACAGUGCUGUUAUUAAGAAUUAUUGUUCAUGCAAGGAGCCAAAAAAUGUGCUCAGCUCUGUAUGAGCUGCAAAUAAAGACAAUCCCUGCUGGAGAAUUUUUAUGUCUAGGAUUCUGUCCUAAGUACUGUUCUUCACAGCUCACUGUGUCUGUGCAAAGGCUGGUUAACUCUCAUAGGACACAGAAGUCUGUCUGCAUCAAGACUGUCAACACAGGACAUGUGACAGACAUGUUAAAACAUAGAUUCUGAUGGGAUACCCAAUGCCCGAGGAUUCUCUCUGUUAAAGCAUGAGUAAAAGGCACUGCUGGAAGGUCACUUUAGCCUUAAAUGGCCAAAUUGCUUCCUGGAAGAUCUUCUCGCUUCCUGCUGGCUACAGAAGCUCCUGAGCAUGAAUACACACUCAACAUCAGUGCUGCUGUGCCUGACAGUAGAAGAGAUGGAUUUUCCUUCUAUGGCCUUAUGGUGAGGUUAAUACAGUAUUUUUGACUGGAAAUCUUGGAUAAGCAUGACAGAUACCCCAGAAAAAUCCUGUGACAAAAAGGAUCAUCCAGUGACAGUGAAAGCACAGUCAUUGAAAACACUGUGGGAUACCCUUGGUCUGUGCACAGUUCCCAGGCAGAGCAGAGAGACUUCAACCUUCAGGGAAAUCUUGGAAGAAUAACAGAGCAAUAAUAAAAUGCAGGGCUUUGUUUUUAGUUCACAUGGGGCCCCAGUAGGAAAGUUGAAAACCUGCUGAAAGAGCGUCUUAUGAAGCAUUAUUAAUAAGUUAUGCAUUGAGUCACUGAUUACAGCAGCUCCUGAGAAGAAUUCUUAAAAUAAAAAUGCGGUCGUUAUUAUGUCUUUGCUCAUGCUUCAUGCAUCCUACUUUUUAGAUUUUUUGGUUUUAACAUAUUCUAUUUAGAUUACUUAAAUGCAGAACUUAGUUCUUUGUUUUAUAAAUGGAUUAAAAUAUUGUACACGAAUAGGUAUAUAUAUAGCUGAAGUUGACUGAGACAUAAUUCAUUGACACAGAAAGAAUUUGUUUUCUGUACCUCCUACAGUCAGCUUAUUUAUAACUAGUAUUUGUGUACCUAGGUUAUGUGAGCAUGGUGCUCUGCCAAAAAAAUUAGUAUUCAGCCUUUUCAAUCCCUCAUAUAUAAGCUGCUCUUGAGAGUGAAAACUCCCACUUUUAGAAAAAAAUUACAUAAAUCCAGUGGCUUGCAUUACCAUCUGCUCAAUCAUCUUUUCUGGAUUGUAAAGUGGAAAAUGUCGGAUUUAUAGAAACCACAUGCAAAGAUUCAUAUUUAAUUCUGCCAAGUUUUGCUGUCACAGCAGCCUUAAAGCAGAUAUGCAAGCCACACAGAACUCAGUCACUCUCCUGGUGUUUCUGACAAGGAUGUAUAAUCAGGAAAGUGCAUCUUUUAUUAUAACAUCUCCUGAUAACUUAAAGUGAUUAAAGUAAUCUUCUAUUUCCCGGUGGGUCAGUCCUGCUGAGAUGGAUUGUCUCACCUUCACAGAGACCUGGCAUAAGUCCUGUUUAAAAUACAAGGGACACAGGCAAGUUUAGAAUAUACAGGUCAAAUUUCUGCAGUAAUUUGGAAAUUUGGUCCAAAAACUGCUCCAGAUGUUCCUAUUCAGUAUUCUAUUUACUAUUUCUGCAUCAAAGUAAUUGAAACAAUGAAUAUUUAUCUUGGAUAAGAGCAAAUAUCAUGUUAGUUUUGUAUUGCAAUGAGUUCAGGAUACAGUAUAAGAGUCCAGAGCAAAGAACAAAGGAAAAACAUUGUACAGAAAGAAAAAAUAAACAUCCAGCCUUGUCCCAUAA